rnacentral:tRNA from 1 species
GCCCAGGUGGCGUAAUUGGCAACCGCAACUGUUUGAGGGGCAGUGCCAAGAAAUUGGCGUGUGGGUUCGAGUCCCACCCUGGGCACAA